CUUGAAUAGUCCUAGUAAAUAAGCUAUAAUCCGCCCUUGAUUGAAUGAAACCAUGCUGACCAGACAACUUUGAAUACCAUUGCCUUGAGGCUUGCUGAGGACAUAUCUACUUUUGCGAAGUUUGCAUACUUUUGGACUUCCAUCAACAACAUAAACAGGAGGUAAUUGCAUAUAUACUUCCUCAUCCAAAUCAGCAUGUAAAAAUGCAUUAUUAACAUUCAAUUGAUACAAGUACCAUCCUUUUAUGGCUACAAGAGCAAGUAGACUUCAAACAGUUACAAGUUUUGCCACUAGAGAAAAAGUUUCAUGAUAAUCCAUGUAGCAUUUAAUUCAAGUGCCUCAAUCUCAUAUUUCAUGGCAUCAUACCAUUCAGGAUAGUUGGUAGCUUCUUGAUAAUUCUUAGGUUCAGUUUGUGAAGUUAUAGAAGUGAUGAAAGCCUUUUGAAGAAUGGACAAUUUAUCAUAUGACAUGCUAGCACGAAGAGGAUAAGGAUUACCUGAAUGAAUUGAGCCCUCUGCCUUGUCUAAGUCUUGAAAUGGAAUAAAAGAAGUGGCCUAUUGACAUAUAAACUCCUGCAAAUACAAGGAUACUUUCCUGAUUCUGGUGGAUUUUCUUGGUAGGUGAGAAGUGUUUUUAUCUAUCUCAAUAUCUAUGGCAUGUAAAUCCGUUUACAGCAUAGUUUGGUCAAUUUGAGGAUCUGCUAGAUUAGUCUCCUCAAUAUUGGAUUUUUUAGAUAUGCAAUCAUUUAGAGUAGAGAAAGAGGAUUUUGAAGAAAGCAAAAUCAAUGGGACUCGGCACAUGACUAAUAUUUGGCCUCUUUGAAAGGGAAUAAGGUUUCAUGAAAGACUACAUUUCUAAAUAUGAAAACUUUCUUGAUCUCUAGGUCAAGGAGUUUGUAGCCUAUAACUCCAAAAGGAUAUCCUAGGAAGACACAUUUUCUGGCUCUAGAAUCAAAUUUAUGUCUACCAUGUAUGAGAGUUGUGGCAAAAGCAAGACAAUCAAACACCUUUAGAUGACAAUAUGUUGGCUUUCUUUGGAACAAAAGUUCAAAUGGACUUUUGUGAUCUGAAAGUGUUGAAGGGAUUCUAUUAAUGAGAUACACUGUAGUCAAUACGCAAUCUUUCCAAUAUUUUAGUAAAAUGCCACUUUGGAACCUUAGAGCCCCUCAAGUAUGGCAUUUUGUUAAGGGGUUUCAACACAUGAUUUUUGAUGUAUUAUCCCCUUUUUAAGGUAAAAUUGUUUCAUAUCAAAUUCUCCCCUAUUAUCAGCUCGAA
rnacentral:lncRNA from 1 species